UUCCUCCAGAUAGGGGCGGCAAUUCAGCUCGCUGUUCGUGAGCCAGCUCGUGUUCGGCUCGAAAUGAGCUCGGGAUCGAAUCGCUCAUUUAGUAAAUGAGCUGAACACGAGCUGAAUUUUUCAGCUUAUUUAAUAAACGAGCCGAACACGAGCUAGGAUCAGCUCGCUCGUGUUCUGCUUGAUAAUAGCUCGAAUAUAUAUAUUUUAUAUUUAUAUAAUUUAUAUAAUUUAUAUUUUUAUAUAUAAAUAAAUAAUUAUAUAUAAUAUAUAUUUUUAUUAUUUAAAUUUUAGCAAAAUAAAUAUAAAUCACGGCUAAUUAUAAAAAGACUCAUUUAUAUAUAAAGUUUUAACUAUUAGAUCAAAGUCUAAUGAACAGAAUUUUAUAAAUUUAUUUUUUAUAUAUAUUCAAUUUAAUCCUUUUAACUUAUUAUUCGUCGGCAGCUCAUGAGCCAGCUCGUGUUCGGCUCGUUUAUUAACGAGCCGAAUACGAGCUGAAUUUUUCGGCUCGAUACUUUAACGAG
rnacentral:lncRNA from 1 species